rnacentral:rRNA from 1 species
AUUGAACGCUGGCGGCAGGCUUAACACAUGCAAGUCGAGCGGGGUGAUGGUGCUUGCACUAUCACUUAGCGGCGGACGGGUGAGUAAUGCUUAGGAAUCUGCCUAUUAGUGGGGGACAACAUCUCGAAAGGGAUGCUAAUACCGCAUACGUCCUACGGGAGAAAGCAGGGGAUCACUUGUGACCUUGCGCUAAUAGAUGAGCCUAAGUCGGAUUAGCUAGUUGGUGGGGUAAAGGCCUACCAAGGCGACGAUCUGUAGCGGGUCUGAGAGGAUGAUCCGCCACACUGGGACCGAGAAACGGCCCAGACUCCUACGGGAGGCAGCAGUGGGGAAUAUUGGACAAUGGGGGGAACCCUGAUCCAGCCAUGCCGCGUGUGUGAAGAAGGCCUUAUGGUUGUAAAGCACUUUAAGCGAGGAGGAGGCUCUUUUGGUUAAUACCCAAGAUGAGUGGACGUUACUCGCAGAAUAAGCACCGGCUAACUCUGUGCCAGCAGCCGCAGUAA